rnacentral:rRNA from 1 species
CAUUUAGCUAGUACGUGGGGUAUAGGCCUUCCAUGGCGAGGAUUCAUGUCCGACAGUAGAGAUCGAUCUGCCACAUUGAGACUGAGACACGGCCCAGACUCCUACGGGAGGCACCUGUGGGGAAUAUUGGGCAAGGGAGUGAACCUAGAGGCAGCAUCGUCGCGUGAAGGAUGAAGGUCUUCGGAUCGUAAACUUCUUUGAUUUGGGAAGAAGCAGUCACGGUACCCAAAGAACAAGCCACGGCUACAUCCGGACCAGCAUCCUCGGUCAUACGUAGGUGGCAAGUCUUGUCUUGAAUUAUUGGGCAUAAUGGGCGUGUAGGCCGGGAUGCAAAUCUGAUGUGAAAAUCUCAGGCUCAAUUGGGGGGGUGCAUCUGAAACGCCCUCUACCGAUUUUUGGAGAGGGAAGCCGAAUUCCCACCGUAGCGGUGAAAGGCGUAGAGCCCGGAAGAAGCACCGGAGGAAGGCGGCUUCCUGGACAUCAACUGAGUAUUGAGGCGCGAAAGCGUGGGGAGCAAACAGGAUUAGAUUCCUUGGUAGUCCUCACCGUAAACGAAGUAUCCUAGUUGCCACUGUCCCCCCCAGAUGAAUCCAAGAGUUAUCACAAUAAGUACACCACUAGGCAAGCACGGCAGCAACAUCGAAACCCAA